GAGGACUGAGCAGCUGAGAGAGCCCAGAGUUCAUCCUGGGGGCUGGGAUCUCCUGCAGCAGCAGCAGGCUACCUGCUUGCCUCCAUUUGAUGCAUCUCAAAGGACAGCUGGCCUCUGAGAGGAGGAGGACUGACCUGCCCCUGAAACCCACAGCACACCUGGCACACCACCCAAGACUGGCAGAGACCUUGCAAAAAACAAGGUGUCUGAACUGACUGCACACUGGGAUGUUGUCAGCCCCAAGCUGCAGAAACAACCCACACCCAAAUUCUGACAUCAGCACUGAAAGGGCAGAUGUCCCUGCAGCACGCUGCACAAAGAC